AUUGAACGCUGGCGGCAGGCUUAACACAUGCAAGUCGAGCGGGGUGAUGGUGCUUGCACUAUCACUUAGCGGCGGACGGGUGAGUAAUGCUUAGGAAUCUGCCUAUUAGUGGGGGACAACAUCUCGAAAGGGAUGCUAAUACCGCAUACGUCCUACGGGAGAAAGCAGGGGAUCACUUGUGACCUUGCGCUAAUAGAUGAGCCUAAGUCGGAUUAGCUAGUUGGUGGGGUAAAGGCCUACCAAGGCGACGAUCUGUAGCGGGUCUGGGAGGAUGAUCCGCCAGACUGGGACUGAGACACGGCCCAGACUCCUACGGGAGGCAGCAGUGGGGAAUAUUGGACAAUGGGGGGAACCCUGAUCUAGCCAUGCCGCGUAUGUGAAGAAGGCCUUAUGGUUGUAAAGCACUUUAAGCGAGGAGGAGGCUCUUUUGGUUAAUACCCAAGAUGAGUGGACGUUACUCGCAGAAUAAGCACCGGCUAACUCUGUGCCAGCCGCCGCGGUAA
rnacentral:rRNA from 1 species